CCUACGGGGUGCAGCAGUGGGGAAUAUUGGGCAAUGGACGCAAGUCUGACCCAGCAACGCCGCGUGAAGGAUGACUGCCCUAUGGGUUGUAAAUUUCUUUUAUAUGGGAAUAAAAUGUUCCACGUGUGGGCUUUUGUAUGUACCAUAUGAAUAAGGAUCGGCUAACUCCGUGCCAGCCGCCGCGGUAAUACGGAGGAUCCGAUCGUUAUCCGGAUUUAUUGGGUUUAAAGGGAGCGUAGGUGGAUGGGUAGGUCAGUUGUGAAAGUUUGCGGCUCAACCGGAAAAUUGCAGGUGAAACUGGCAGUCUUGAGUACAGUAGAGGUGGGCGGAAUUCGUGGUGUAGCGGUGAAAUGCUUAGAGAUCACGAAGAACUCCGAUGGCGAAGGCAGCUCACUGGACUGCAACUGACGCUGAGGCGCGAAAGUGUGGGUAUCAAACAGGAUUAGAUACCCUAGUAGUC
rnacentral:rRNA from 1 species